UACUGGGCUGGACUUAACAGAAUGUGAGAGCUUUGACCUAGCCGCUAUGGAGAUGUAGAAGGGUAAAUGGUUCCUGUAAGCUUUGGGGAUGGGUGGUCAGAGAAGAAUUGAAUGGAAAUUUAAAUGUAAUUCCAGAAAUACCAUCAAUUAGACAUUCAGUAAGCUUGUGAACUUCUUUUAUAAAAAUACAAAUAUAUCUAAGAAAGAUGCCUGGGGUGAGGAUGUUAUUUAGUAUGAAUUAGUUCCAUCGUCUUACUUUCUGCUAUUGUCUUGCUCAAGUCAUACUAAAGAAGCGAGAGGAAGUGUCUUUCAUCAGGAAUAUAACCACAUGUAUCAUAGAAGGCAUCUCGGAUCAUCGGACCAUAUCCAGAAAAGUGUGGCGCGUGCCUUGGGAGCUGAGAAGAAGGGCAAAUCUCACACCUGCCACAGCUUUUCCCAGCAACAUAAAAUUCUUGAGAAAAUCAAUCUUAAAAAGAGAAAAAAAUUGAGUAAGGUGAGGCUGUUGCUCAAUUUUUUUGAAAAAAAUAGGGAUAGUCCAGUCACCAUUUAUUAAGUAUAAGUAUUAGGUAUAAUAUACAGAAAUAUUUACUUUUAAAUCAAAUGUUUUAUAUAUAUGCACAUACAAUACACUUCAUUUUAAAAGCUAAAUCAUGAAAUAGGCCCAAUAUCCACAUUCAUAGAUUUGAAAACAAAAACAGAACCAAAAAAAAUCCAUAAAAUUGAGCAAUGCAUAUUGCUAACUAGUGGCAAAGCUAAGAACCUCUGGUUUCAAUGUUUUUUAGGUUCUAAAUAAUACACAGCCUAAAAUGACACAGGUUAUUUUGGCUUUAAAUAAAAUAUAUUAUAUAGCA